UGCAUCGGCCGGAAAUCGAACCCAGGCCGCCCGCGUGGCAGGCGAGCAUUCAACCACUGAACCACCGAUGC
rnacentral:tRNA from 1 species